rnacentral:rRNA from 1 species
AUUGAACGCUGGCGGCAUGCCUUACACAUGCAAGUCGAACGGUAACAGGUCUUCAGAUGCUGACGAGUGGCGAACGGGUGAGUAAUACAUCGGAACGUGCCCGAGAGUGGGGGAUAACGAGGCGAAAGCUUUGCUAAUACCGCAUACGAUCUCAGGAUGAAAGCAGGGGACCGCAAGGCCUUGCGCUCACGGAGCGGCCGAUGGCAGAUUAGGUAGUUGGUGGGAUAAAAGCUUACCAAGCCGACGAUCUGUAGCUGGUCUGAGAGGACGACCAGCCAAACUGGGACUGAGACACGGCCCAGACUCCUAAGGGGGGCAGCAGUGGGGAAUUUUGGACAAUGGGCGCAAGCCUGAUCCAGCCAUGCCGCGUGCAGGAUGAAGGCCUUCGGGUUGUAAACUGCUUUUGUACGGAACGAAAAGACUCUGGUUAAUACCUGGGGUCCAUGACGGUACCGUAAGAAUAAGCACCGGCUAACUACGUGCCAGCAGCCGCCGUAAAAC